AAACUACAAGUGCAAAGGAAACUUGUAAAGUUAUGAUUUUCCUUCAGCUAAACUAUUUGGACAGCACAUAUGGGAGAGAUCUUUACUAGUUUGAUAGUAGGCACAGCUAUAUAAACAAGUGUGGUACCUUCCCUUCAGCUCUCUCUUGCCUCAAACCAGCGAUUUCAGGUGCAUGUGCACCAAAGAGGAAAAAGUUCUCCUCUCCAACCUCUUCUCUGAUCUCCACAUUCGCACCAUCCAAAGUUCCAAUAAGAAUACAGCCAUUCAUUGCAAACUUCAUGUUGCUGGUUCCACUAGCUUCCAUUCCAGCGGUACUGAAUGGAUAGUAAUACUGUUAAAAAUGCACGUCUUAUACAGAAAUAGAAACUGGGGUGGCACUUCUGGAUGGCACUAUCCCAGUAAGACUCCAGGUACAUAUUAUAGCAAACAAAAAGGCACAUGAAAAAUUCUAUGUCAGCCAACUCCAGGUAAUAUUCUUUUUUUAUGUAUUCACAUACUAUAUAAGAGUAGGCAGAAUAUUACCUGAUAUGCUGGGACAAUUCACUGGCAGGAAUGAGCGUCUCAGCAACGCUAACAUUAUAAUCUGGGACAAAUACAACCUGGAUAACAAACAAAAAUCCUCAGACUUAACCUGUCACCUUAUAUUUACCUCAUCUAGUUAUCAGUAAUAUCAGCAUCAGAUGCUGAUAGCAAUAAAAGUGUCAAAAAAAUUUGUGGCUAUAUUGUUCUCUAAAAAACCUGUGGCUAUUCAGUUGCUCAGUUUUACAAGCACCGACAUUAAGAACAUUCACUGCUCUGUUUUCCUUUGAAACUCUGAACAUUCAAUGCUUUUCAGUCGGAGUCAACUUGCCAGUGACAGAACAUGAAAAUUAAGACUGAUAAGUGGCAUCAAAGACACAAAUUUACCUUCAGUAGAUCUCCAAUAUCAGGAUCAUAAUUUACAGUAGCUGCGACAUCUGUGAUAAACUUCACAAUCCUCUUUGCCUGUACGUAAGUGGCAAAAGCUUUCCCGCCAAAUAUGCAUACCCUU
rnacentral:lncRNA from 1 species